rnacentral:tRNA from 1 species
GAUGUAGCUCAGUGGUAGAGCAUGUGCUUAUAAUGUGUGAGGCUAUGGGUUCAAUUCCUACCAUC